GUUCGGAUUGCAGGCUGCAACUCGCCUGCAUGAAGCCGGAAUCGCUAGUAAUCGCGGAUCAGCACGCCGCGGUGAAUACGUUCCCGGGCCUUGUACACACCGCCCGUCACACCACGAGAGUUUGUAACACCCGAAGUCGGUGAGGUAACCUUUUUGGAGCCAGCCGCCUAAGGUGGGAUAGAUGAUUGGGGUGAAGUCGUAACAAGGUAACCGUA
rnacentral:rRNA from 1 species